rnacentral:rRNA from 1 species
AUUGAACGCUAGCGGGAUGCUUACACAUGCAAGUCGAACGAGUGGCGGACGGGUGAGUAAUAUCUCGGAACGUGCCCAGUGGCGGGGGAUAACUACUCGAAACAGUGCUAUACCGCAUACUAUUGGAUCUGCCGAUAUAGGAUUAGCUAGUUGGUGGGGUAAAGGCUCACCAAGACAACGAUCCGUAGCUGGUCUGAUAGGAAGACCAGCAACACUGGUACUGGGACACGGACAAGACUCCUACGGUAGGGAGCAGUGGGGAAGUUGCGACAAUGGGGGAAACCCUGAUCCAGCCAUCCCGCGUGUAUGAUGAAGGCUUCGGGUUGUAAAGUACUUUUGGCAGGGAGGCGUUAUCUGCAGAAUAAGCACCGGCUAACUACGUGCCAGCAGCCGCGGUAAUAC